GCGUUCGUGGUGUAGUUGUCAGCACACUCGUUGCGUAUUCGAAAGGUCCGUGGUUCGAGUCCCGGCGAGGGCA
rnacentral:tRNA from 1 species